CGCGUGAAUUUGCUGGGAGAGUGGAGGGGCCGUGGCCACACACACGCCGCUGCUCGGCCUCUCUGGGGUGGCAAAUGGGCACUGCCGUGUCUGCAGUCAGCAGCACUCAGCUCAGUUCAGUGGAGAAUAGACUUACUAGGAUUCGGAUGGUAGGAUGAUGGUAGCAAAACUAGGAACUGACCAACAGAAAAGCCAUUCUCGCUUCGGGCUGGCCCUGAGCAAAACGACACAGAAAAUAAGAGGUGGUUUCAGCACCCUAAAUGUGCUUCCCACCCAGCUCACGCCCAGGCUCAGGCGUCUUUCCCCAACCUCUUUCUCCUAUCAAAGUGACUCGCAUGAAAGAGAUAGCACCCAAAGAUCUUACUUGGGGCCUUGCUUGGUACUCACUGGCCACGUGGGAGUAAGAAUCCAACCUACAGAGCUCUCUGCUGAUACAUGGGUGUAUCAAAGAGAACUUUAAAUAGUGUGGAGACUGGACAAACUUUAUCAAAUCUUAAGAAACACCAACAGAGUGGGUUUCCUGAAAGGGAUCUUCAGAUAUCAGAAAGAGCCCUUAGGCUUCCUGUCCUGCGUUAGCCACUCGAGAAAAAGAAGUGAUGACCCGUUGAUACUAACUCACUAAAAUCUCUCUGCUGAAAGACGGGUUUUUUGAGGCAGUUUUGCUCUGUCGCCCAGGCUGGAUGCAGUGGCGCCACCUCAGCUCACUGUAGCCUCCCCACCCCAGGUUCCAGUGAUUCUCCUGCCUCAGCCUACUGAGUAGCUGAGACUACAGGUAUAUGCCACCAUGACUGGCUAAUUUUUGUAUUUUUAAUAGAGACGGGGUUUUCACCAUAUUGGCCAAGCUGGUCUCAAACUCCUGACAGGUGAUCUGCCUGCCUCAGCCUCCCAAAGAGCUGGGAUUACAGGCAUAAACCACCACACCCAGCUGGAUUUCAGGUCCUCUUAUCUAGUGGCAAGGUAUAGGGAGCUCCCAAACAACUUGUACAUUACUUCCAAAAAUACUGCCUUAUUUAAUUGUGGAGCAGGAAAAACUGUCUGGUGGCUGACAAUAACUGAAGUUCCAAAGUUACUUUUUAUAAACUUGAAUUAUGAAAAAUAGAUCACAGGUUAUUGAGCAUUCAUGCAUUUGGAGCAGUAAUAAUGAAAGUCUCUGUUAUCUUUUCACUUAUGUUGUUGAGAUGCAAAAUAUAUGCUUCAGAGUGUGCAAAAACAAUAAUGUUUAAGACCAUGUGUUUUUAAGUUGUAUUGUUUUAAUUGACAAAUAAUAGCUACAUAUUUAUUUAGGGUACACAGUCAUGUUUCAUACAUAUGAUGUAUAAUUAUUUCAGAUCAGGAUAAUUAGCAUAUCUAUCAUCUCAAACAUUUAUCAUUUCUUUGUGUUGGGAAGGUUCAAUCCUCCCUCUAGCUAUUUGAAACUAUAUAUUAUUACUAUUAUUAUUGUGUGUGUGUGAUGGAGUUUGCUCUGUCACCUAGGCUAGAGUGCAAUGGUGUGAUCUCGACUCACUGAAACCUCCAACUCCCAUGUUCAAGUGAUUUUCCCGCCUUGGCCUCCCAAAUAGCUGGGAUUACAGACAUGCACUACCAUGCCUGGCUAAUUUUUUGUAUUUUAGUAGAGAGGGGUUUUCACCGUGUUGCCCAUGCUGGUCUUGAACUUCUGAGCCUAGGCAAUCUGCCUGCCUUGGCCUCCCAAAGUGCUGGGAUUACAGAUGUGAGCCACCGUGCCUGGCCUAUUAUUGUUAACUGUAGUCACCCUACAGUGGUGUGAAACCCUAGUACUGAGUUCUUCCAUCUGGCUAUAAUCUUGAAUCCUUUAACAAAUUCCUCCUUAUCCCUACCUUUUCCUCCCCUUCCCAGCCUCUAGCAUCCUCUGUUCUACCUUUUACUUCUAUGAGAUCAGCCUUUUCUAGGUUCCACAUGUGACUGAGAAUGUGUGGUGUUUAUCUUUCUGUGCCUGACUUAUUUCACUUAAUAUCCUCCAGUUUCAUCCAAGUUGCUGUGAAUGACAGGAUUUCAUCCUUUUUUAUGGCUGAAUAGUAUUUCAUUGUAUACAUAUACCAUGUUUUCCUUAUUCAUUGAUCUAUUGUUGGACACAUAGGUCAAUUCCAUAUUGGCUAUUCUGAAUAGUGCAGCCAUAAACAUGAGGGUGCAGAUUUCUCUUUGAUAUAAUGAUUUCCUUUCGUUUGGAUAUAUUUUAAGUAAUGGAUUUCUAGAUCAUGUGAGUAGUUCUACUUGUAGUUUUCUGAGGAACCUCCAUUUAUUCUCCAUAGCAGCUGUAUUAGCUUACCCAACAGUUCCCUUUUCUCUGCAUUCUCACGAGCAUUUGUAAAAGCAUGUGCUUAAAAAUAUGUGUUCAGCUGGGCAUGGUGGCUCACACCUGUAAUCCCAGCACUCUGGGAAGCCUGAAAGGGAUCUUCAGAUAUCAGAAAGAGCGCUUAGUCUUCCUGUCCUGUGUCAGCUACUCAAAAAGAAAAAGAAGUGAUGACCCCCUGAUACUAACUCACUAAAAUCUCUCUGCUGAAAGACAGGUUUUUUGAGACAGAAUUUUGCUUUGUCGUCCAGGCUGGAUGCAGUGGCGCCAUCUCAGCUCUCUGCAGCCUUCACACCCCAGGUUAUAGUGAUUCUCCUGCCUCAGCCUACUGAGGAGUUGGGCGGAUUACUUGAUUGGAGACCAGCCUGGCCAACAUGGUGAAAUCCCAUCUCUACUAAAAAAAAAAAAAAUAGCUGGGCAUGGUGGUGCAUGCCUGUGAUCCCAGCUACUCCAGAGGCUGAGGCAGAGGUUGCAGUGAGCCAAGAUCGCACCACUGCACUCCAGCUUGGGGGACAGAGCAAGACUCUGUCUUAAAAAGAAGAGGUUGUUGGGUUAGACCGUGGUAAUUCAUGGUCUGUUCAGAAAUGAAAUUGGUUGCUUGAUGCUGUUUCUUAAUGAAUUCAAUCUAAAAUUAUGAGGCAAAAUGGUGCUUAUAUGUUAACACUUAUACUGUGAUGAAGUCAUUUCAACAACCAACUUUCUUUGACUCACACGUGAUAUUGAGCUGAUUAAUAUACUUCCUGUGCUGACAAAAGGUAAAACAAAAGCAAGAUCUCUAUUUCUACAGAAAUUUGCAUCGGAUAUAUUUUCUGAGCUCAAACUGUCAAACUACAGUUCCAGCAGUUCGUCAGACAUUAGUGUGAAUAAACAGAACAGUCCCGUAUUUCAAACUUCAUUUAACUUUGCAAUUGAAAAGCUUCUCUCUAACCUUCAUUUAGAACUGAUUAUUCUGCAAUGUAAUGACAUAUUAAAAGGCAAAUAUCAAGAGAAGAUUCUAAUUAUAUAAAUGCCUUCCAAGCUCAAUUGAAAUCAUAUGCUUGUGGAUUAAUGUUAGUAUUUGACAGUGCCCACCUUCAUGAAAAGACAUUUUCAAAGAAAUAUGUAAAAUCUGUAAAACCUCAUUACAGAUCGGCUUAUUAACAGAUGAAAGUUUGCAAUCAGUUUGGAUAGGAAGCACUAAUAUUAAACCCCAAUUAAGUAACAUGUUAUUUACCAAAAAAGAAUUCUGUUGUCUCAUUAGUAGAUCCAUAUAAAAAUUGUACUGGCGGGCCAGGCACGGUGGCUCACGCCUGUAAUCCCAGCACUUUGGGAGGCCGAGGCGGGUGGAUCACUAGGUCAAGAGAUCGAGACCAUCCUGGUCAGUGUGGUGAAACCCCAUCUCUAUUAAAAAUACAAAAACUUAGCUGAGCAUGGUGGCAUGUGCCUGUAAUCCCAGUUACUCAGGAGGCUGAGGCAGGAGAAUUGCCUGAACCCAGGAGGUGGAGGUUGCGGUGAGCCGAGAUUGCACCAUUGUAUUCCAGCCUGGGUAACAAGAGUGAAACUCCAUCUCAAAAAAAAAAAAAAAAAAAUUGUACUGGCCAGGUGCAAUAGCUCACAAUACCUGUAAUCCCAGCACUUUGGGAGGCUGAGACGGAUGGAUCACCUGGGGUCAGGAGUUCAAGAUCAGUCUGGCCAACAUGGUGAAACCCCAUCUCUACUAAAAAUACAAAAAAAAAAAAAAAAUUAGCCAGGUAUAGUGGCGCACACUUAUAAUCCCAGCUACUUGGGAGUCUGAGUCAGGAGAAUACCUUGAACCUGGGAGGUGGAGGUUGCAGUGAGCAGAGAUUGUGCCACUGCACUCCAGCCUGGGUGACAGAGCAAGACCCCAUCUUAAAAAAAAAAGUACUAAAUUGUACCUAAUGUAUUAUUAUACUUUGAAUUUUGCCAAUAAGAAUGUUGUGGAAAUUUGUUUACCCUUGUUAUGUAAGUACCUACAUAGUAUCUUGAGUCUGCUUCUUGGCCUGCAAACACUAAAGCAUUUACUCUUUGGCCAUUUACAGAAGAAAUUAGCUGACCUUUGCUUUUAAGCAUCAAAAAGUGCACAUUUCCCUCAGUGAUCUAUUUGUAAAAUUGUAUAUUUUUAUGGCUGGAUGUGGUGGCUCAUACUUGUAAUCUCAGCACUUUGGGACACUGAGGUGGGAAGAAGGAUUGAGACCAGAAGUUGGAGACCAGCCUGGGAAGCAUAGCAAGGCCAUGUCUGCACAAAAAAAGAAAAAAAGAAAUUAGCCAGUCAUGGUGGUACAAGGCUGUAGUCCCAGCUACUCAGGAGACCGAGGCAGGAUUUUAAUUGAGACCAGGAGUUUGCAGUUACAGUGAGUCAUGAUUGCACCACUACUCUAGCCUGAGCAGACUGAGCCCUAGCUAAAAAAAAAAAAGGGAGUGAGAGUGAAGAGGCUGAUGGUUCUAAUAACUUGGGAAGCUGAGGUGGGCUGAUCACUUGAGACCAGGAGUUCAAGACUAGCCUAGUAAGCCCAGGCUAAAAUACAUAGCAAAACCCCAACUUUACAAAAACUACAGAAAAAAAAAAAUGCCAGUUGUGGUGAUGCACACCUAUAGGCCCAGCUACCUGUGGAGGCUGAGGGGCUGGGGUGGGAGGAUCACCUGAGGCCCAGGAGAUAGAGGCUACAGUGAGCCAAGAUCAUACCACUGCACUCCAGCCUGAGCAACAGAGUGAGAUUCCUUCUCAAAAAAAAAAAAAAAAAAAAAGUUGUGUUUUGGUAAAUAUUAUUUACAUUCAUUGUAAAAAUGCAUACUAUAUAGGGGUAAUAGAAGAAAGAAGCUACCCUGACACCCCACUACCCAGAGAUAAGUGUUGCAGGUUUGAGGAGGAGCUUAUUCUGGUUGUGAUUUGUGCCACAUUCCUAAAAUGAGUCCCUUGGAACACUAGUUGCUCAGAUGACUCUUAGCAAGAGGACUUUCAUAAUGUUUCUUGAUGACAUUUUUAAAAAUUCAUAAAUGAAGAACAUCAUCAUUGUGAAAAGCUUAGGAAAUAUAGAAAGGCAUAAAUAUCAGUUUUAAGAAAUCAUCUUUAAUCCUGGGGUAUCAGUAACCCUGGCAGAAUUUGAUGGCAUACUCAACCUGGAUAAUUGAGGAGAGUUUAAUUAAGGACAAGAGUUUGAGGGGUGAGGGACAACUACAAGGGAUGAAUGGAUGUUCCUGGAGUCAAUACCAACUGGGAGCCAACCUCUGCUUGAGUAUAAAGGGGAGGAAAGCUUGUUACCAGAAUUCAAAGGGGAUGGCUACAUGGAGAGGGUCUUCAGUGGAGAGAACGCAGUCAAUCCUCUGGUACCGCAUAGGAAGAGUGCUGUGUGUGCCUCCCACUGGCCAAAACCAACUGGAUCAGCAGGGAGCCCCAGGGUACAGAGUAAGGAGGAGAAGAGGAAGACAGGUCUCCAGGGGCAGAGAAGAUACAGUACAGUUGCUACCAAAGCCUACAAAGCUUGUCUCCAACAAGCGCUAGUCUGUGAAUUCAUACUCCAAGACAAUUCUGUUUACUAUACACAAAGACAUUCAGAUCCACACACAUUUUUUUAAUGAUUCUUCUUUGUCUUUUUUUUUUAUUGCAUUUUAGGUUUUGGGGUACAUGUGAAGAACAUGCAAGAUUGUUGCAUAGGUACACACAUGGCAGUGUGAUUCGCUGCCUUCCUCCCUUUCACGUAUAUCUGGCAUUUCUUCCCAUGCUAACUCUCCCCAACUCCCCGCCCCCCGCUGUCCCUCCCCUAUUCCCCCCAACAGACCCCACUGUGUAGUGCUCCCCUCCCUGUGUCCAUGUGUUCUCAUUGUUCAACACCCGCCUAUGAGUGAGAACAUGCGGUAUUUCAUUUUCUGUUCUUGUGUCAGUUUGCUGAGAAUGAUGGUCUCCAGGUUCAUCCAUGUCCCUACAAAGGACACGAACUCAUCGUUUUUGAUUGCUGCAUAAUAUUCCAUGGUGUAUAUGUGCCACAUUUUUUUUUAGAGAUGAGAUGUCUCCAUGUUGCCUAGGCUGAUCUCCAACUCCUGGACUCAAGCUAUCCUCCCACGUCAGCCUCCCAAAGUGUUGGGAUUAAAGACAUGAGCUGCUUCACCCAGCCCAGAUCUUCACUCUUAAAACCAGAUUUGGGUUCCUGACCAGCCUGGCCAACUUGGUGAAACCCAUUUCUACUAAAAAAACAAAAAUUAGGUAGGGUGGCCUGAACCUGUAAUCCCAGCUACUCCGAGGUUGAGGCAGGAGAAUUGAUUGAGCUUGGGAGGUGGAGGUUGCAGUGAGCUGAGAUUGUGCCACUGCACUCCAGCCUGGGUGACAAAGUUAGACUGUCUCAGAAAAACAAAAAACAAAAACCAGAUUUGGGCCCACUGUGCUGUUCUCUUCUAAAGUAAAUCAGAGCUUGUUGGAGGGUGUCAACUCAAGUUGUCAGGACACCCAAGAAGUAAGGUAAGGAACAUGCUGCAACAUGCUGCUGAUGUUAGAAGAAGGGGAGCUAUCUCCUUGCCUCACGUUGGAAAAAGAUGUGAAGAGACCACAAAGAGAAGAUUUCCACUGCUAGAGUGAAUUGUACACUAUGGAUGGAAAAAUAAUUAUGAUCAUUGGUAUAAUCUGAGCCAUGGGUCCAUGAAGGUAUUUUUUAAAUGAUUCACAAACCAUAAACUUUUUGUAAAAGAUUCCUGUGGCACAACCAUGAAUUUCUGCUGUCUUUACCAAAAUUAUUAUUUUUUUACCAAAAUUAAAAAACUGUGUGAAUCUCACACAUAUUUUCAUUAUACAAUAUAACUACAAAAAUAUACAAAUAUGCUGUAUAUGUAAAAAUAGGUUAUGUGAAUCUGCAUUUGUUAACAUAAAAAAUAGUCCAUAACCUAUUAAGUGGGGGGGGGGGGAAGCAGGUUACAAAGACCAUGCUAUGCUUUACUCCCAUUAUAUGUGUGUGUGUGCAUCACGUGCCUCGGAAAAGUUUCAAAGGGUGGAUCCCUAAAUGUUUACAGUGAUCUUCUCUGAUGGAGGAGGGACUGAUUGCUGGUGUCUAGCAGUAAGUAUUCUUUUCACACAAACAAAUGUUUGAAACACAAAACACGUUUUCUACAGAAACAGGUGCGCCUAGGAUGGCUAGGGACGCUUUACGCCGGGGCAGCGUGUUCACAGUGAAGAGAGCAGGGAGUGGAUGUGGCCGGCGGGGGGCGGGUCCUCCUCCCCGCCAGCUCUCUAGGCCCCGGAGCCGCCUCUCUCCGGCCCUGACCCCGCCUCUGUCUCCCGAGCUGCGGACGCGCCUUUUCCGCCGCCUGCGGUAGCAGCCGAGGACCCGCCCCUGGGAGGCGUUGUUCGCCGCCGGAGAGUUUGGGGUGGCGAAGACGGGGCGCAAGACUGAGACGUGCGGCCCUGCUGAAGGAGCGAGCCUCGUGCGGCGGGGCGGCCCCAUCACUGCAGCGCCCGCCGUGCGUUGUUCCCCCUGGCGUUGGGCCCGCGCUCCCCAGGAUGGGACUCUGCGGCGGGCGCGGCCCGAGGCGCGUCGAGGCUCUCCUGACCGCGUUAUAAAUUCGUCCUUUCCUUUUCUCCUCACGGAUUGCAGCGAGCGCCCGUCUUGCUGCACCUUGAUCUUGGACAAUCCAGUGUUUUCUAAAAGAAGACAAGUAAGAAGGGUGGCUCAUACCUGCAAUCCCAGCACUUUGAGAGGCUGAGCCAGAGGAUAGUUUGAGCCCAGGAGUUCAAGACCAGCCUGGCAGACCCCUCUCCCCAACAUCUCUACAAAAAUAAAAAUUUAAAAAACUA